GCACCGCAGUUGUACGGCGUGGAAGCUCGGCAUGAAUUCCCCGGUGCAGAAGAGAAGGCUACGGAUUGUUUCUCACGUAGGCAAUAGCUCGUAGAUGUAAAGUUAUUCGUCUUUAACGGAUUGCUUCAAGUAUUGACAUAAUUUACCAUAUUUCUUUGCAAUAAUGGCGCUUUCCAUUGCAACUGUAUGGACAAGGUGCGUCRCCGUUCUCUUUGUAUUCAGCGCGAUGUGGGGAAUUGCUUUGUCCAUUAAUCGCUACUCUAUUCCCGAGGAAAUGCAAGAGGGUUCCGUUGUUGCAAACCUGGCUACAGAUUUGGGACUUGACCUUCGCACUCUGAUAACACGCAAGGCAAAGCUUGAUAUCAUCCACAGAAACAAAUAUCUGGACAUUAACAAAGAAACGGGAGACCUGUUCAUACUUGAAAAGAUAGAUAGGGAAUAUAUAUGCUCGAGCAAGACAACGUCUUGUUUUCUGAAAAUGGAUGUCAUAUUUGAAAAUCCCAUUCGAAUCUUUAACAUUGAGCUUGAAAUUAUGGACAUAAAUGACAAUGCACCGGUCUUUCGAAGGGAGACAAUGCACUUGGAUAUUUCAGAAUCUACCGCUGCAGGAGAGAGAUUCUCUUUGACAAAUGCUGUGGAUGCAGAUGUCGGUGCGAAUUCUAUUAAGACUUACUAUUUAAGCGAAAGCAAGUCUUUUACAAUUGACAUACAGACGGGAAGCGAUGGAUCUAAAUACGUAGAUUUGGUUCUCAACAGUAAUUUAGACAGAGAGGAACAGGCGGUUCAUCAUUUAAUACUAACCGCUGUAGAUGGCGGGGUCCCUGCACGCUCAGGCACAGCCAGCAUCAUCGUUAGGGUUCUGGAUAUCAAUGACAACGCCCCUUUUUUUAACCAGCCGAUAUAUGCUAUUAAUGUAACUGAGAACUCCCCAAUUGGAACUCUAGUAAUGACCUUGAACGCAACAGACUUGGACGAGGGCACUAACGCAGAGAUGAUAUAUUCAUACACGUUAUAUACAUCCGAGAAGACACAAGAAAAGUUCUCUCUAAAUUCGAAUACAGGGGAAAUAAAGGUUAAGGAUGUGAUUGAUUUUGAGGAGAGCCACAGUUUCGAUAUAUAUAUUCAAGCCAGAGACCAAGGAUCUAAUUCGUUAUCCGGAGAUUGUAAAAUAAUGGUAUUUAUUACCGAUCUGAAUGACAACUAUCCCGAGGUUACCAUUAAAUCUUUUAAAAGCACGCUCAAGGAAGAUGUUGCCAUAGGAACAUUAAUAGCAGUGAUCAGUAUAAGYGACAGGGACUCCGGGGACAACGGUGAAGUUGAGCUCACUUUGAACCAACAAACAUCCCUACCCUUCGUUCUUAAUAAGUCUUCGGAGGAUUACUUUGCUCUGCAUGUUUCAGAACCACUGGACCGUGAGACAAUUCCAAGAUAUGAAAUCACUUUCAUAGUCACAGACAAAGGAACACCUCGCUUAUCUGACAAUGAGACAAUCACCUUGGAGAUACUGGAUGUCAACGAUAACUCGCCAAUAUUCCCCCAGUCGUUCUACACAAUCCAUGUUGUAGAGAACAACGUCCCCGGCGCACUGUUGACGUCACUCAGUGCUUUCGACCCGGACCUCCAUGAGAACCAGUAUCUGGUGUAUUUUAUCAUGGAGAAGGAGAUCAUCAACACAUCUAUGUCCAUGCUUUUCUCCAUUAAUCCAGAGAAUGGCAACCUUUACGCUCUAAAGACCUUUGACUUUGAGAGGGAGAGGGAGUUCCUUUUCCACAUAGAGGCCAGAGACUCUGGGGUACCUCCACUGAACAGCAAUGUGACAGUUCACAUCAUCAUUCUGGAUCAGAAUGACAACACCCCGCUCAUAGUGUCACCUUGGCGUGCGCAGGGCUCGGUUAUUGAAGAGGUGAUACCGAGGUCCACUGAGAAAGGAUUCCUAGUUGCCAAAGUAAUCGCCAUUGACGCAGACUCAUUACAGAAUUCACGGGUCACAUAUCAGCUUCUACAGAUCAGUGACUCUAGCCUCUUCAGUCUAGAUCAGUACAAUGGGGAGAUCCGUACCACGAGAAUGUUCAGCUAUAGGGACCCCCGUCAUCAGAGGCUGGUUGUUGUCGCCAAAGACAAUGGAGACCCCGCUCUUUCCGCUACAGUCACCAUCAAGAUAUCAACAGUAGAACACAUGGUGACGCCAUUCUCAGAAACUACUGAGGUGCCUUUGGAAUAUGACUUGUUCACAGACUUAAAUCUGUAUUUGGUCAUUGGUUUGGGCUCAGUAUCCUUUCUGCUAUUGAUCACCAUAUUGGUGGUCAUCGUGCUGAAGUGUCAGAAACCGAAGCCCAUGAAGAUGCCUCCUGCUAUGAAUAUGAAUCUGAACAGUCUAAACAGGAACAGUGUGAUCAGCAGAAACAGUAUCAUCAGCCAGAGGAGCUCUACCAUAGCCGAUUCCACCCUCAUCUCCAGUGAUGCCUACUGGUACAGCCUGUUUCUAGCAGAAACCAGGAAAGGCAAGGUGGUUGUCCGACAGCCUAUAGUACCGAAGGGAGCAGGCUACUUUGUGUCCAGUAUACCCAGAAGCACAGGGCCUACAGAGACCAGCGACUCAAGAGCAUCCACGCUACAGUACUCAAAAUGAAAGGAAGCCCAUUCUACAGCUGGAGGUAUGCUGGUUGCUGGUAACAUGAUGAUUCCAGAGCCAGCAGUGACCUGCCAUGAUGUCCUCAAUCUGGGGUAUUCGGCUGCAGAACGUUCAAAGAAGUUAAGAGUGACCAACACCCCUCCUUCAAUCACUGGGAUCCAACAGUUACCUCUGGGGACAGCUCGUCGAACCUUCUGCCCAAACAUACCACACCAACCACCUCAGCAACUAUAGACUACCUUUAUCAUCUUCCAUCAAGCAUGAAUCUGCAUGGCUACAUCAACAGGUACUUGUAUUUAGAAAAUAUCAUAAAGAAGAAAGGAACAUCAAACAUAAGGUCUUUCAGACAACUUUGGACUGAUGUCAUUAUGCAUAGCACCCUCCCUGGGACUUUUGACUGUAAAUGUGGGACCAGGCACUCAAUAUCUUCCAAAAUCCUACCUUACCUCUCCAAGAAACACAUUACACAAAAGGGAUAUUCUGUUUAGUUCUUGUGAGGGUUCCUCAUCAUUGUGAUGUCAAUGCAUUAGGGGUAUGUGUGAGAGGUCACAAUAUGGUCAAUGCCAUAACUCUGUUAGCUAGUGAAAUAACUAUCUUUGUUCAUCUGUGAAUGUGUAGUGUGCAUAGAUAACUUUUGUACAUUUUGUUUAGAAAUAAGACUAACAUUUUUCAUCAUUUGGCUUUCUAGACCUUAACAAUUUUCUUGAAUGUGUUGAAUUAUGUUUUUGACUCUGAACAUCAGCCUAUGUUAUGGGAUUAUUUAUCUCCUGAGACAUGGUAUGGGAUGUGCAUGUUGAGUUGGUCACAAGAUAGAUCAAUACCUCAUACCUGUCAUUCAAUGAGCCAGGUAGGAGAGAAGUACCCCAUCUUACUCCACUUCACAUUGCAGACAGAGAUAGCUAAUAUAUUCUCACGGUUCAAAUCUUCAUGAUCACAUUUGACACUGAUGCUAUAUUUAGUAUAUUUUGAUGAGAAACAUUUCCUGCUCAGCAUGUAUAUAUAAAGCACAGACUAGAAUCCAUUUUUUGUGUGAGAAUCAUGUCCAAGGAAAAACUCAGGACAGCGAGAAAUACCCAGAUUUAGUUCCUACCUGCCUAAGCAGGACAAUAUGAGGGUCAAAUGUAGCCAACACUGUAUGUAGAAUAUCCGAGGCACUAAAGGGGUUCACUUUACAACAAUUUAUCAUACCUCUGUCUGAGCCUUCUCAACUAAACUGCACAGGCCUCUGCCAGGUUUCAAUCACUGUAACACUUACUCCAUCCCACACUCCCAGUGUCCCUGCCACUGUGAACAAACCUCAGAUCAUCAGCUAAAGGAGAAUUCAGUGUUAAACAGGAAGCUUAGAGGAAGAAACCAUGUGUACUUUAUAUAAGAAAUGUUACUAAAAAAGUAUUUAUUGUUGUAUAUUUGAAAUGUAUUUAUGUUGGCAUGGUGCAAUACAAUACUCUGGCCAUGUUUUUAAAGUUUACAAUGUUUUAUGAAUUGUCAUGUUUUUAUUGGAUAUUUUGACCUAACAAUUGUUAACACUGCUUUUUAUGUGACUUAUUCAAGUGCAUUGUGUAGCCUACUGUAUGACAUUUGUAUUGCAAUACAUCAUUCAAAUCUUUUAUCUGAUACAGUGUACAGACAAACAAUCUAAAUUAUUUUAUGAAAUUUGAAUGUAGCGCUCCCCUGAUCAAGAAUUUAGCCAAAAUGUUAUUUUACAUUUAUAGAUAAACAGAGUAUAUCUUCUCCCAGCAAUGCCCUGAAGUGCAGAGAUUUAAUGCAAGGCAUUAGGUCUUAGAAAUGAGAAACUAGAACAGACAGCAGUAUAUACACGUCACAAUGAAGGGAAAGGGCCAAAAGAAGGAGAGAGCGAUAAGGAGAAAGAAACUGAAGACGAGUGAGACAGAAAGGGGGUUCCUUUGACGUCAGUGCAUGCAUGACCUUAUAGGCCCUGCACUCACAAUCCAUCCAGUCUUCAUUUGAAAUGAAAUACUGAACUUAAAUACUACUGUAUAUAUCUCAAUCAUGUAGGUUUAAUGGGAAAAACAAUAAGCUAUUCCUAUUCACAGUGAUUUCCACUGAAUCCAGAUCUGGCUACACCACUCCUCUACCACAGGCUGCAGUGCAGUCAUAGUUUGAAGUUGUAAUUAACUCUCCAACUCUUUAUCGCUCUCUUCCUAUUUAAAGCCCUGUGUGAAUCAUGACCUCACCUCCCGUCACAAUGUGAGGUCACUGUCACUGUGUGGGUCUGAGGGCUGAUGGUGUUGGACACACAGCUGUCUGAUUGCUACACUAAUGAUGUGGGCACUGCCUGCUCUGCCUGUGGGGAGAAUAUGCUGCCUGAGCCUUGUAUGAAGACACAUUUAUUACACAUUUAGGUAACAGAAAAUAUGAAACUAAAUUCAGACGUCAUGAGCUCUUUAUGGGUCUCCUGCAUUAUACCAAUACAUGUGACUUGAGGAGAAUGAGAUGAUGGUUCUAAAUGCAGAUUCAAGUCAUGAUUAUUGCAAGGGAUAAGAUGUCAUCUGGAUUCAUUUAGAUCCCAGGCAUUUGGAGAAAAUCUCCCAAGCAGCCAGUGGCUGGGUGAUUGUGUGAUAUGACCUGAGACCUUAAGCUCUACUUUGACAGUGGAUGGGGUUUAAAACCUGUAUCGGCGUAUCUACUUUGUACUUUUUUWAAAAUACAAUAUACUUUUUAUAUCUGAUGUGAUCUCUGCACUUGGCUUGAUGGUACAGGAGGGUGUCUGUGGUGCUUGCUUAAGUAUCAUGCAGAUCAUGUCUGUCUCUGUUGUGUAGCUACACUGCUUAUUCCUGCAUUAUGAUUCUAUGGUCUGACUGUAUCUGCCUCCCUUUCUGUAGGGCUUCCUGUGUUAUUUAUAGGUGGGUGGGGGGCGGGGACACAAUGCACAAACCUGAUUGGCAGAUGCGAGUUAAAAAGUGAGUGAGAGAGAAUGGCAUUGCUUACAUUUUUUAUUCAAAAACAGUUUGGAUGUUGUUUCUGUUGCUUAAAUAUCCUGCUUCUAGAUGCUGGUGUCAAUAAAGCUUUAAGAUAUGUGGUUC